CAGCAGUAUAGCUAAGAAGUAUAGCAUCUCCCUUACACCGAGAAGUCAUCCGUGCAAAUCGGAUAACUCUGAC
rnacentral:tRNA from 1 species